AACGGCUCAUUACAAUGGCCAUUAUUUACUUGAUCUUGAUUGUCUAAAUGGAUAACUGUGGAAAAGCUAGAGCUAAUACAUGCACUAAAGCUUUGUCCUUACGGAAAAGCGCAUUUAUUAGAACAAAACCACGCGGCUUCGGCUGCUUCUUGUUGACUCAGAAUAACUUAGCUGACCGCAUGGCCUUGUGCCGGCGGCGUGUCUUUCAAGCGUCCACUUUAUCAACUUGACGGGAGCAUAAUCGACUCCCGUGGUGGUGACGGAUAACGGAGGAUCAGGGUUCGACUCCGGAGAAGGGGCCUGAGAAAUGGCCACUACGUCUAAGGAUGGCAGCAGGCGCGCAAAUUACCCACUCUCGGCUCGAGGAGGUAGUGACGAGAAAUAACGAGACUGUUCUCUUUGAGGCCGGUCAUCGGAAUGGGUACAAUUUAAACCCUUUAACGAGUAUCAAGCAGAGGGCAAGUCUGGUGCCAGCAGCCGCGGUAAUUCCAGCUCUGCAAAUACAUAGAAUUAUUGCUGCGGUUAGAAAGCUCAUAGUUGGAUUCGUAUCGAUACCUUGGAACCCUUCGGGUGUCUCUAGGUGUUAUCGAUUUAUCGUAAUGUUCGGUUUUGAGUCCUUAACAGGAUUCUUAACAGGCAUUGCAAGUUACUUUGAACAAAUCAGAGUGCUUCAAACAGGCGUUUUCGCUUGAAUGAUCGUGCAUGGAAUAAUAGAAAAUGAUUUCGGUUCAGUUUUAUUGGUUUUACGGACUGAGAUAAUGGUUAACAGAGACAAACGGGGGCAUUUGUAUGGUCCCGUGAGAGGUGAAAUUCUUGGACCGUGGCCAGACAAACUACAGCGAAAGCAUUUGCCAAGAAUGUCUUCAUUAAUCAAGAACGAAAGUCAGAGGUUCGAAGGCGAUCAGAUACCGCCCUAGUUCUGACCGUAAACGAUGCCAACUAGCGAUCCGCCGAUGGAAAUUAUAUUGCCUUGGUGGGGAGCUUCCCGGAAACGAAAGUCUUCCGGUUCCGGGGGAAGUAUGGUUGCAAAGCUGAAACUUAAAGGAAUUGACGGAAGGGCACCACCAGGAGUGGAGCCUGCGGCUUAAUUUGACUCAACACGGGGAAACUCGCCCGGCCCGGACACUGUGAGGAUUGACAGAUUGAUAGCUUUUUCAUGAUUCAGUGGAUGGUGGUGCAUGGCCGUUCUUAGUUCGUGGAGUGAUUUGUCUGGUUUAUUCCGAUAACGAGCGAGACUCUAACCUACUAAAUAGCUGGUACAUAAUUUAAGUGUAUACAGCUUCUUAGAGGGAUUUGCGGUGUUCAGCCGAAAGAAAUUGAGCAAUAACAGGUCUGUGAUGCCCUUAGAUGUCCGGGGCUGCACGCGCGCUACACUGGCAAAAUCAACGUGCUUGUCCUACCCCGAAAGGGGCGGGUAAACCAUUGAAAAUUUGCCGUGAUUGGGAUCGGAAAUUGCAAUUAUUUUCCGUGAACGAGGAAUUCCAAGUAAGUGCGAGUCAUCAGCUCGCGUUGAUUACGUCCCUGCCCUUUGUACACACCGCCCGUCGCUGCCCGGGACUGAGCCAUUUCGAGAAAUU
rnacentral:rRNA from 1 species